UGCCUCUCAGGGUCACACCUGGAGAGUUUCCAGUCCUCUACCAGUCUCGACUAAAGGAGGGAGAGUCAAGUUGAGGCUUAUUCAUUCUAUUCCUAGCUUGGGCAGUGGCUAGCGAGUGGAAGGCAAUCUGCUACAAGU